CCCGCCCAGCGGGUGGGAGCAUGUGGUUUAUUCGAAGCAACGCGAGAACCUUACCAGGUCUUGACAUCCUCUGACAAUCCUAGAGAUAGGACGUCCCCUUCGGGGGCAGAGUGACAGGUGGUGCAUGGUUGUCGUCAGCUCGUGUCGUGAGAUGUUGGGUUAAGUCCCGCAACGAGCGCAACCCUUGAUCUUAGUUGCCAGCAUUCAGUUGGGCACUCUAAGGUGACUGCCGGUGACAAACCGGAGGAAGGUGGGGAUGACGUCAAAUCAUCAUGCCCCUUAUGACCUGGGCUACACACGUGCUACAAUGGACAGAACAAAGGGCAGCGAAACCGCGAGGUUAAGCCAAUCCCACAAAUCUGUUCUCAGUUCGGAUCGCAGUCUGCAACUCGACUGCGUGAAGCUGGAAUCGCUAGUAAUCGCGGAUCAGCAUGCCGCGGUGAAUACGUUCCCGGGCUGGGGGGAUCCCGAAU
rnacentral:rRNA from 1 species